GGUAUCUCCUGCUGGAGAUCCCUGCCUACCUGAGGCCUUUCAAAGGGGGAACAAAUUCCUGAUUCUUCCAAAUGAGUUCUAAGGAAGCAGGGGAUAAAGAAAGGAGGUAAAUGUUUGGAGUGGAUAAAUCUGUCUGCCCAGCAGAGAAUAUCCCAGGACUCCAAGUGCUACUUAUCACAGAAUUGUCUUGAGAAAUCCAUAUGAAAUGGAAUUGUCAUGGAAUAACCAGGGACUGUUCGCCUGAAGAAAGAGGCUUUCUAGACUCUGCUUCCUCCAGUGCUGAGAUCCUGGUACAUGGAGUGUCUGGGACCAGGAUUCUGCCUCACUCCAUUACUGGGAGGUAAAAACUGAAGACCCAUUGCCUCAGCUCUCACUGCUGACUUGUGCAAAUUCACCCAGUAAGUCUGGAACUGAACUGAGCUGAGAACCCUGGUUUUUCCAAGUGCCAUCCUGGUGCUUAAGAGCUGAUGAUGAAGGGGGAAGUCGCUUGCAAUUAGCCACACUUCCCUGGCUUACAAAAAUAGAGUUGCUAUUUCACACUGCUGGUAAUUGCUCUAUUUUCUGCCUACAAAACUUUUGCUUCUGUAUGGCUGACCUCAGCUGAAGAAAACCGCAUUGAAAGAAAGAACAGAUGCAAGUCUCUGCUUGAAGAUUAGUGUCAGAGGUGGUUUCUGGUGGAGGUUUAAUUCCACAGAGCUCAGAUUUCCAUUUACUCAUAUACUCAGGCUAAAAAGUGGGUUUCUUUUAUUAUUAAAGCAGUUUGGCUGUGUGGAAGGUUCAUGUGAAUGUUUUCACUUUAAGAGUAUCAGUGACAGAGCCUGACUUCUGUAAUCCUGUGGCAUGCUCUUCUCUUUUACCAUUGCUCUUCUCCUUGAAUAUCAGCCUAACAGCCUCUAGACUUUGCAGGACCUGCAUGCUGAAGGACCACACUGAGUAGCAGUAAGGUCUGAGUAGGGCUGUGACACAGAAUGGGGAAGCAGGAGCACUGAAGAUCAGGAGAAGCAGGAUGAAAGCACAGAAGUGACACUCACCAGCUCAGCAGGGUUGACAACUGGAGGCUGAAGAGCUCUAGGGAGGAAUGUGCAUCUCUUACUCAUGUCUUUACCUGGUCACAGUCAAAUGUACAGGGCUUAUUCAUGUCACUAACCCACUUCUUAGUCAUGAGCAGUGAGAAAUCAGUUAGCAUUUUUUUCAUCUCCUUUACAAGAAGAAAAAUCCAGCAGCCAAAGACAGUAGAGGAGAAACAGAUGUAAAUCAACAUGAAAUAUUUUAAGACUGCAGAGAGUACUACAGGUAAAUAUGGGCUAGAUGGUCAGCAGCAGUAGGUGUGAGGAAUGAAUGGGAUAGAAAUACAACGGUUCAGCAGGGACAGACAGGUUGUCACAAUAACUCUUCUGAAUUGUUUACUAAAUUUUGUUUACAGUAUAAACAUUUUGCUCAAGGGCUGCUAAAAAGAUUUAAGAGAACCGAGUAAAAAUGUUCUCUGCUCUAUAAACUGCUACUGCUUUGCCUUUCCUGUCUGGGUAGCAGAAUAAAUGAGAGCUACAAAAAUACCAUUGCAACUAACACUGCACAUCAUUUUUCAGUUGGUGAAGUGACCAAACAAUAUGUUCUCUGCUUUGCAGAGGAAAGAAAUUAAAGGGGAGACAAAACUCUUUGGAGGGUCCUUUAGGAGCAUUGUGUCAAAGGGUGGCACUUGGGGUCCCCUUGCAUAGCACUGUAGUUUAGUUGUUUGAAGAUGCUGAAGUGCAUAAUGUGGCUGCAAAGCUCAUUAGAAAAAUUAAUUCACUCUAUUCGUUUUUCGUUUUUCCACUCCUGACAUGCAGCCUUUUACAUCUGGAGUUACUUGAAGAUAAAGUCAUUUUCAAAAUAUUUUUUCUGGUUGCUUUUAGUAGAUUAUAAACUGGAUGUUCAUGGAAACUGCAAAAGGUUUUUUCCACGUGGGGUCUCCUGCAUGACACUCUUCAUACUGAACAGACAGGUAGUGCUAUUUCAAAAGAAUGAGGGCCACAGAGGAAGAGCAGAAGACUUUUUAAAUUCAAUUCACAGAUAUGAUAACCAGCAGGUGAUCCAACAUCUGUUAGUAGGUGGACACAAGUUUGGAGCCCUGGCUGCUCAUAUUUAAGGUUUUGGUACUCACCUGUAAGACAAAGUCAUUAAUGCUAUGCUGACAUGAAAGAUGUGAAAUCUAGCUGGAAGGAAGUUACCUGAAAGCCAUAGAUGGGUUUGGGGUCUCUUACCACCUGUGAGCUGGCUAAGCCAUAUGGCUGUUAUGCUUUGUGGGACUUAAAAGGAUUCACCUGGUCAGCGUGUGCAACAAAUAACAAUUUCCCUUGUGAAGGGUUGGGGAUAACUACAAAGUUUGGUAAUUAGUGUGAAAGAUACAAGAAAGAAUGGAGAUUAAUAAAACGUUCCCUGCUAUGCUAAACAGAAACCAAAUUGCAGUUAUUCAGAAGGCUGCUUGCCUCAAAGUGUCUCUUCCUUUGUUUGCAAUCUAACAUUUGGGUCGAAUGUUUCACUGCUGGGAGUAACUUUGUCAAUUGGAAGCUCAAAUUCAUCCAAUCAAGCCUGAAAUAAAGACAGGCACUGAGGGCUCCUGUGCAGUGCUACAAGGACAUGUUGCUUCAGGAUAGCAUCUUCAAAACUGCUAAUUGAUGGAGAUCUCACCCUGCGAAAUUCAGUGCAGCAUUUCCUCUGAAGUCAUUAAAGUGUUCUUAUGCAAGACACUCCUCCUGCAAUUAAUUAGCUGUUUGUGUGGGCAUUUAUUUAUCUGAAGACAUAAAAUUAGACCCUCAGUUGACAUAAAUGAUUCCAGCUCACUUUUGUUCUUUUUGGAAGAUCAAGCCCAGAAGCGGAGCAGAAAGAUAAGCUUCCCAAUUCACGGGUGGUUCCCAGCCAUUUGCUGUCAUACUUCUGCUUCAGUUUUCUCAUCUAAUUGUGUUUUUCAGGCUCUUGUGUUUUAGGGAUAUUUCUUUUUUCCUUCUAACAACCCAAAUUACUCCAGGAAGAGUCAGUUGUCAUGACUCCCUGCUUUAAAGGCUUCUGCCGCCACCGUUUCCAGACAAUAACAGGAACAGAGGACCAAAGCAGACAGGAAAAAAAAAAACACCCUAAUUAUAGCUCAGACUCCCUUUCUCUUUCUAAAGUGGGAAAGAAUGUAAAUUAUCAUUCCUGGACUCAAAAUCAAAUAGAAUUACUUAUCUCUUGAAAUCCCUGCUGAUCUGGCCACUGCACAGUCAAGCAGCGUGCUGCCUCAUUAUUCCAAUGACAUACUGCUGCAGGAGGAGAAACUCCCAGCAAAAACACAGGAGCUCAUAGUAUUCUUCUAUUCUCCUUACCAGGUAGGUUUCCAUAUUUCUCUUUCAAAAUAGAGCCCCUGGAACUAAACCAAGUCUGACCUAGGGAAAAAUACAUGCAAAUAACCCCUGGAAUAGCAGACAGUGGAGAAGCCAUAGCAUGCUUGUUCUUGGAGACAACCAAGAUCAGGCUGAAACAGGCUCCAAGCAACCUGGCUGAGCUAUGGGGGGUCCCUAUUCAUUGCAGGGGAGUUGGAGCAGAUGACCUUUAAGUAUCCCUUCCAGCUCAAAUGGUUCUGUGGUGGUAUUGCAGCAGGGAGAGCCCUCAUCAGGAUUAUUAGGCUGUUCUCUGGAGAGAUCUGGAGCCUUUCAGUUCUCUUCUGUCUUACAAUACCUCUCUCUCUAAUUUUGAUGCAAUUUCUGUUGCUGUGUGGAAAAGGUCAGUACUGCAUGUUCAUAUAAUGGAAUAAUGCUAAGUCUUCCACUGCAUUAACAGGAUGCUCACUUUGUAAAGGUAUUUGGUAGCCAACAAAAUAGAGAAGUUCUUAUUGAAAUAUGCAAAGCUACCACAUGAUUCUUAUUUCCCUUUAAGCCCACAGAGAUUAUAAGCAACUGAAAGGACAUGUUGGCCUAGAAAAAGGCAGUGAACUGUGAUACAAUAUGCUCAUGAGGGGUCUGGAGGAGAUGGGCAAGGGAAUACACAUUAACCAAAUCACCUUGACUUGCUAAUGCUGCUUGCUGAGUGUGCACACUUUGGUUGGACCCAAAGGGCAACAUUAUGGCAGCUAGUGGGAGGGAAUAAAACCCACAGCCACAGAUGACAGAGCUCCAUAAUAAGCAUUCUCCAGGAGAGCUGUGAU